UACGUAGGUGGCAAGCGUUGUCCGGAAUUAUUGGGCGUAAAGGGCUCGCAGGCGGUCUUCUAAGUCUGAUGUGAAAUCUUGCGGCUUAACCGUAAGCGGUCAUUGGAAACUGGAGGACUUGAGUACAGAAGAGGAGAGUGGAAUUCCACGUGUAGCGGUGAAAUGCGUAGAGAUGUGGAGGAACACCAGUGGCGAAGGCGGCUCUCUGGGACGGUACUGACGCUGAGACGCGAAAGCGUGGGGAGCGAACAGG
rnacentral:rRNA from 1 species